AGAGUUUGAUCAUGGCUCAGGACGAACGCUGGCGGCGUGCCUAAUGCAUGCAAGUCGAGCGACGCAUGCCGGAGGGGUAACCCACUGGCAUGACGGAGCGGCGAACGGGUGAGUAACACGUGAGCAACCUGCCCCACAGACCGGGAUAGCCCAAGGAAACCUGGAUUAAUACCGGAUACCCCCGAGGAACCACAUGGCUCUUCGAGGAAAUGCCUUUGUGCUGUGGGAUGGGCUCGCGGCUUAUCAGCUAGUUGGUGGGGUAACGGCCUACCAAGGCAUCGACGAGUAGCUGGUCUGAGAGGACGAUCAGCCACACUGGGACUGAGACACGGCCCAGACUCCUACGGGAGGCAGCAGCAGGGAAUCUUGCGCAAUGGGCGAAAGCCUGACGCAGCAACGCCGCGUGGGGGAUGAAGGCCUUCGGGUUGUAAACCCCUUUCAGGAGGGAAGAAAUUGACGGUACCUCCAAAAGAAGCCCCGGCCAACUAUGUGCCAGCAGCCGCGGUAAUACGUAGGGGGCGAGCGUUGUCCGGAAUCAUUGGGCGUAAAGAGCUCGUAGGCGGUUCAGCAAGUCGGCUGUGAAAGUCCGAGGCUCAACCUCGGAACUGCAGUCGAUACUGCUGUGACUCGAGUCCGGUAGAGGAGAAUGGAAUUCCCGGUGUAGCGGUGAAAUGCGCAGAUAUCGGGAGGAACACCAGUAGCGAAGGCGGUUCUCUGGGCCGGUACUGACGCUGAGGAGCGAAAGCGUGGGGAGCAAACAGGAUUAGAUACCCUAGUAGUCC
rnacentral:rRNA from 1 species